rnacentral:rRNA from 1 species
UCCGAAGGGGGCUAGCGUUGCUCGGAAUUACUGGGCGUAAAGCGCGCGUAGGCGGUGCGAUAAGCUAGGGGUGAAAUCCCAGGGCUCAACCCCGGAAUUGCCUUUAGAACUGUCGUGCUGGAGUCUCGAAGGGGAUAGCGGAAUUCCAAAUGUAGAGGUGAAAUUCGUAGAUAUUUGGAGGAACACCGGUGGCGAAGGCGGCUAUCUGGUCGAGUACUGACGCUGAGGCGCGAAAGCGUGGGGAUAAAACAGG